CCUACGGGAGGCUGCAGUGGGGGAUAUUGCACAAUGGGGGAAACCCUGAUGCAGCGAUGCCGCGUGAAUGAAGACGGCCUUCGGGUUGUAAAGUUCCUUUGCAGGGGACGAAAAUGACGGUACCCUGCAAGAAAGCUGCGUCUAACUACGUGCCAGCAGCCGCGGUACUACGCAGGGAGCAAGCGUUGUCCGGAAUUACUGGGUGUAAUGGGAGCGUAGGCGGGAGGAUAAGUUGAAUGUAAAAUCUAUGGGCUCAACCCAUAGCUGCGUUCAAAACUGUUCUUCUUGAGUGGAGUAGAGGCAGGCGGAAUGCGUGGUGUAGCGGUGAAAUGCAUAGAUAUUAGGAGGAACACCGGUGGCGAAGGCGGCCUGCUGGGCUUUUACUGACGCUGAGGCACGAAAGCGUGGGUAGCGAACAGGAUUAGAUACCCGGGUAGUC
rnacentral:rRNA from 1 species